UGCUUCCUCGCCGGCGAGCGGCGGACGGGUGAGUAAUGUCUGGGGAUCUGCCCGAUGGAGGGGGAUAACCACUGGAAACGGUGGCUAAUACCGCAUAACGUCGCAAGACCAAAGUGGGGGACCUUCGGGCCUCACACCAUCGGAUGAACCCAGAUGGGAUUAGCUAGUAGGUGGGGUAAUGGCUCACCUAGGCGACGAUCCCUAGCUGGUCUGAGAGGAUGACCAGCCACACUGGAACUGAGACACGGUCCAGACUCCUACGGGAGGCAGCAGUGGGGAAUAUUGCACAAUGGGCGCAAGCCUGAUGCAGCCAUGCCGCGUGUGUGAAGAAGGCCUUCGGGUUGUAAAGCACUUUCAGCGAGGAGGAAGGUGGUGAGCUUAAUACGCUCAUCAAUUGACGUUACUCGCAGAAGAAGCACCGGCUAACUCCGUGCCAGCAGCCGCGGUAAUACGGAGGGUGCAAGCGUUAAUCGGAAUUACUGGGCGUAAAGCGCACGCAGGCGGUUUGUUAAGUCAGAUGUGAAAUCCCCGAGCUUAACUUGGGAACUGCAUUUGAAACUGGCAAGCUAGAGUCUCGUAGAGGGGGGUAGAAUUCCAGGUGUAGCGGUGAAAUGCGUAGAGAUCUGGAGGAAUACCGGUGG
rnacentral:rRNA from 1 species